AGCAUACUAGCUCAAUUGGUAGAGCAUUGUGCAACAAAAAAUGUGGGUUUGAAUCCCACGUAGGUUC
rfam:Spinacia oleracea cultivar SynViroflay scaffold16972.con0001.1, whole genome shotgun sequence.